GACGAACGCUGGCGGCGUGCCUAAUACAUGCAAGUUGAGCGCUGAAGGUUGGUCCUUGUACCAACUGGAUGAGCAGCGAACGGGUGAGUAACGCGUGGGGAAUCUGCCUUUGAGCGGGGGACAACAUUUGGAAACGAAUGCUAAUACCGCAUAAAAACUUUAAACACAAGUUUUAAGUUUGAAAGAUGCAAUUGCAUCACUCAAAGAUGAUCCCGCGUUGUAUUAGCUAGUUGGUGAGGUAAAGGCUCACCAAGGCGAUGAUACAUAGCCGACCUGAGAGGGGGAUCGGCCACAUUGGGACUGAGACACGGCCCAAACUCCUACGGGAGGCAGCAGUAGGGAAUCUUCGGCAAGGGACGAAAGUCUGACCGAGCAACGCCGCGUGAGUGAAGAAGGUUGUCGGAUCGUAAAACUCGGUUGGUAGAGAAGAACGUUGGUGAGAGUGGAAAGCUCAUCAAGUGACGGUAACUACCCAGAAAGGGACGGCUAACUACGUG
rnacentral:rRNA from 1 species